rnacentral:rRNA from 1 species
AUUGAACGCUGGCGGAAUGCUUUACACAUGCAAGUCGAACGGCAGCACGGGUGCUUGCACCUGGUGGCGAGUGGCGAACGGGUGAGUAAUACAUCGGAACGUACCCAGUUGUGGGGGAUAACUAACCGAAAGGUUAGCUAAUACCGCAUACGACCUGAGGGUGAAAGCGGGGGACCGUAAGGCCUCGCGCAAUUGGAGCGGCCGAUGUCUGAUUAGCUAGUUGGUGAGGUAAAGGCUCACCAAGGCGACGAUCAGUAGCUGGUCUGAGAGGAUGAUCUGCCACACUGGAACUGAGACACGGUCCAGACUCCUACGGGAGGCAGCAGUGGGGAAUUUUGGACAAUGGGGGAAACCCUGAUCCAGCCAUUCCGCGUGAGUGAAGAAGGCCUUCGGGUUGUAAAGCUCUUUCGGCAGGGAAGAAACGCUCUGGCUUAAUACGCCGGGGUAAUGACGGUACCUGAAGAAGAAGCCCCGGCUAACUUCGUGCCAGCCGCCGCCGUAACAC